rnacentral:rRNA from 1 species
AGAGUUUGAUCCUGGCUCAGGAUGAACGCUGGCGGCGUGCUUAACACAUGCAAGUCGAACGGAGUUUUUAAACGGAAGUUUUCGGAUGGAAGUUUAGAAACUUAGUGGCGGACGGGUGAGUAACGCGUGGGCAACCUGCCUCAUACGGGGGGAUAACAGUUAGAAAUGACUGCUAACACCGCAUAAUAUAGCGAAACCGCAUGAUUUUUGCUACCAAAUAUUUAUAGGUAUGAGAUGGGCCCGCGUCUGAUUAGCUAGUUGGUGGGGUAAAAGCCUACCAAGGCGACGAUCAGUAGCCGGCUUGAGAGAGUGACCGGCCACAUUGGGACUGAGACACGGCCCAAACUCCUACGGGAGGCAGCAGUGGGGAAUAUUGGACAAUGGGGGAAACCCUGAUCCAGCGAACCGCCGCGUGAGUGAAGAAGUAUUUCGGUAUGUAAAGCUCUAUCAGCAGGGAAGAUAAUGACAGUACCUGACUAAGAAGCCCCGGCUAACUACGUGCCAGCCGCAGC